rnacentral:rRNA from 1 species
CUACGGGGGGCUCCAGUGGGGAAUAUUGGACAAUGGGGGAAACCCUGAUCCAGCAAUGCCACGUGUGUGAAGAAGGCCUGAGGGUUGUAAAGCACUUUUAUCAGUGAGGAAGGUAAUUAGGUUAAGAGCUAGAUUACUUGACGUUAGCUGAAGAAAAAGCACCGGCUAACUCUGUGCCAGCAGCCGCGGUAAUACAGAGGGUGCAAGCGUUAAUCGGAAUUACUGGGCGUAAAGCGCACGUAGGUGGAUUACUAAGUCAGAUGUGAAAUUCCCGGGCUCAACCUGGGCCUUGCAUUUGAUACUGGUAGUCUAGAGUAUGAUAGAGGGUAGAGGAAUUCCUGGUGUAGCGGUGAAAUGCGUAGAUAUCAGGAGGAACAUCGGUGGCGAAGGCGUCUACCUGGAUUAAUACUGACACUGAGGAGCGAAAGCGUGGGUAGCGAACAGGAUUAGAUACCCGAGUAGUC